rnacentral:rRNA from 1 species
AAAAACAUCGCCUCCUGCAAACAUCCAAGUAUAGGAGGUCCAGCCUGCCCGGUGACAAGUUUAACGGCCGCGGUAUUUUGACCGUGCAAAGGUAGCGCAAUCACUUGUCUUUUAAAUGAAGACCAGUAUGAACGGCUAAACGAGGGCUUAACUGUCUCCCUUUUCCAGUCAGUGAAAUUGAUUUACCCGUGCAGAAGCGGGUAUACGCAUACAAGACGAGAAGACCCUUUGGAGCUUAAGGUACAAAUCCAACCACGUUAAGCAACUAACAUAAAAGCAUUAAACCUAAUGGAACAAUGGCAUUUUACCUUCGGUUGGGGCGACCACGGAGAAAAAAAGAUCCUCCGAGUGGACUGGGACUAAAACCUAAAACCAAGAAAGACAUUUCUAAGUCACAGAAAAUCUGACCAAAUAUGAUCCGGCCACUAAAGCCGAUCAACGGACCAAGUUACCCUAGGGAUAACAGCGCAAUCCCCUCCCAGAGUCCAUAUCGACGAGGGGGUUUACGACCUCGAUGUUGGAUCAGGACAUCCUAAUGGUGCAGCCGCUAUUAAGGGUUCGUUUGUUCAACGAUUAAAGUCCUACGUGAUCUGAG